UACAGAGGGGGCAAGCGUUGUUCGGAAUUACUGGGCGUAAAGGCGCGUAGGCGGCCUGCUAAGUCGAACGUGAAAUCCCUGGGCUCAACCCAGGAACUGCGUCCGAUACUGGUUGGCUUGAAUCCGGGAGAGGGAUGUGGAAUUCCAGGUGUAGCGGUGAAAUGCGUAGAUAUCUGGAGGAACACCGGUGGCGAAGGCGACAUCCUGGACCGGCAUUGACGCUGAGGCGCGAAAGCCAGGGGAGCAAACGGG
rnacentral:rRNA from 1 species